AAUCCCUCCCAGUGCU
rnacentral:tRNA from 1 species